rnacentral:rRNA from 1 species
AGUCACUGACAUUAGAUACCCCGGUAGUCCCAGCUGUAAACGAUGCAGGCUAGGUGUUUGGACGGCCACGUGCCGUUCUAGUGCCGCAGGGAAGCUGUUAAGCCUGCCGCCUGGGGAGUACGAUCGCAAGAUUGAAACUUAAAGGAAUUGGCGGGGGAGCACCACAAGGGGUGAAGCUUGCGGUUUAAUUGGAGUCAACGCCGGAAAUCUCACCGGGAGCGACAGCAGUGUGAAGGCCAGAUUAAAGGUCCUGCCAGACGAGCUG